GAAUCAACGCUGGCGGACGUGCCUAACACAAUGCAAGUCGAGCGGGAAAAGGGGCUUCGGCCCCUGAGUAUAGCGGCGGACGGGUGAGUAACACGUGGGUAAUUUGCCCUUGGGUGUGGAAUAACUCAGGGAAACUUGAGCUAAUACCGCAUGACAUCCUCUUCGCACACGAGUCGAGGAUCAAAGCCGGGGACCUUUCGGGGGCCUGGCGCCUGAGGAGAAGCCCGCGCCCGAUUAGCUAGUUGGUGAGGUAAUGGCUCACCAAGGCUUCGAUCGGUAGCCGGCCUGAGAGGGCGGACGGCCACACUGGGA
rnacentral:rRNA from 1 species